GAUGAGAAUGCAGCGAAAUGCGAUAAGUAAUGUGAAUUGCAGAAUUCAGUGAAUCAUCGAAUCUUUGAACGCACCUUGCACCCUUUGGCUAUUCCGAAGGGUAUGCCUGUUUGAGUAUCAUGAACACCUCAACUCUCAUGGUUUGCCAUGAUGAGCUUGGACUUUGGGGGUCUUGCUGGCCUGUGGUCAGCUCCUCUCAAAUGGAUUAGCUUGCCAGUGUUUGGUGGCAUCACAGGUGUGAUAACUAUCUACGCUUGUGGUUUUCCACCAGGUAACCUUCAGCAAUGGGGGUUCGCUGGGGCUCAUAAAUGUCUCUCCUCAGUGAGGACAGCUCUUUGAACGUUUGAUCUCAAAUCAGGUAGGACUACCCGCUGAACUUAAGCAUAUCAAUAAGCGGAGGA
rnacentral:misc_RNA from 1 species